rnacentral:lncRNA from 1 species
UGUAAACAGGUUUACCUCUCUGUCAGAGGCUCGUCAAGAGGCAGAGAGUAAGCAGCCUCGGGCCAGUGCGAUCGCUGAGCUAUGCCAUGCUCCGUCUGUGUCGGUGUGCGCCUGCGGUAACCACUGUCCUAUGGGAUGAGAGUUAUGACGGGCAGUAAUUAGUCUGACAGAGCCAUGCUGUUUCUCUCACAGCCAGUUCAAAUGAUCUUAAGGGGACGUUCAGUUCAUCCAUCUCUGUUCCUCCCUACAGUGGAGCAAUACAAAGGUUAGAAAGAAAGAGGGGACCAAGUCAACAAUGAAAUGAAGAGAGAAAAAAAAGAGGAGCAAGAAGAGUUGUGUGUGUGUAUGUGUGUGUGAGCGUGUAUGAAGGUACAUGUUGAGUCAGAAGUGAGAGGUUUGGAAAGUAGGGAGAGAGAGAGAAAUAAAUAAAUAAAUAAAUGAGAUAAAUAAAAGAGUGAAGAGAUAGGAGUGAGCGAGUCCUGCCUACUGUCACUGAAGAGCCUUCUAUCUGCCCUCUAGAUUUACAGAGCUGCUUUUAUCAGAUCCAGGCAGAGCGACAGUAAGCUACAGAGUGAGAGAGGGAGGGAGGGAGAGAGAGAGAGAGAGAGAGAGAGAGAGAGAGAGAGAGAGAGAGAGAGAGAGAGAGAGAGAGGGAGACUCUACUCAGGCUGUUUAAACAGUGUGCUGUUUUGGAGAGGCAGGACUUCCAGAACAGCAGCAGCAGCAGAAGCAACACAAGACUCAGUGUGCAGAGGAUCUUCUGCAGUCUCCUCCUCCCACUGCACACCACAGGAGCACCUUCCAUCCUCAACACUUUCACCUCUCUCAGCGCCCGCCUCGCCUCGCCGUCCCCGGGAGAAAAAAAAGAGAGAGGGGCUGUGUGGAGAAGGACAGGCACAGGUGCUGUAGUGAGCAAGAGCAGAGAGAAGAAAAGAAGAGGCGAUUCGACUGAGCGAGCGACUUUGGAGCACACAGAGCUGAGAGGAAUUCCAAAACAGCUGUCCGGCAGACGUCCUCUGAAAAGAGCACCCUCAGGGGCAGAGAGAGAGAAAGAGGGAGGGAGAGAGAGAGAGAGGAGGGGGGGCUGCGACACACGCUCUCCACUUCAUUUUGAGCCGGUGAGCGUCAGGCAGAGCAGCUUGCUGUGGACAGAGCCAACAGGAUCAGCCUCGAGGAGCUGCACAAGGUGAGGGCCUUUGACAGUUUCCUGCUGCAGCUGACUAAGACGGAGAUCACUGGGCUUAGAGGCGGAGGUCUGACCAGUGGAGGCCUCUGCGUCUCUGAGAAUGUAACUCCUGCAUCCCAGAGGAGACUUCAGCAUUGAGGACCUGACCGCAGCGCGAGGGUCACCGCCCUUCAGGAGGGCCUCACUUUCAUUCUUCAGUCCGAGUCUCUC